rnacentral:siRNA from 1 species
AUCCGCCAAAUCAAUGCAGAGGU